rnacentral:misc_RNA from 1 species
GAUGAAGAACGUAGCGAAAUGCGAUACGUAAUGUGAAUUGCAGAAUUCAGUGAAUCAUCGAGUCUUUGAACGCACAUUGCGCCCCCUGGUAUUCCGGGGGGCAUGCCUGUCCGAGCGUCAUUGCUGCCCUCAAGCACGGCUUGUGUGUUGGGCCCCGUCCCCUCCCCCGGGGACGGGCCCGAAAGGCAGCGGCGGCACCGCGUCCGAUCCUCGAGCGUAUGGGGCUUUGUCACCCGCUCUGUAGGCCCGGCCGGCGCCAGCCGACACCCAACUUUUAUUUCUAAGGUUGACCUCGGAUCAGGUAGGGAUACCCGCUGAACUUAAGCAUAGCAAUAACGGAGGA